rnacentral:rRNA from 1 species
AUUGAACGCUGGCGGCAGGCUUAACACAUGCAAGUCGAGCGGUAGAGGGGAGCUUGCUUCCCCUGAGAGCGGCGGACGGGUGAGUAAUGCCUAGGAAUCUGCCUGGUAGCGGGGGACAACGUUCGGAAACGGACGCUAAUACCGCAUACGUCCUACGGGAGAAAGUGGGGGAUCUUCGGACCUCACGCUAUCAGAUGAGCCUAGGUCGGAUUAGCUAGUUGGUAGGGUAAAGGCCUACCAAGGCGACGAUCCGUAACUGGUCUGAGAGGAUGAUCAGUCACACUGGAACUGAGACACGGUCCAGACUCCUACGGGAGGCGGCAGUGGGGAAUAUUGGACAAUGGGCGCAAGCCUGAUCCAGCCAUGCCGCGUGUGUGAAGAAGGUCUUCGGAUUGUAAAGCACUUUAAGUUGGGAGGAAGUUCAGUAAGUUAAUACCUUGUUGAAUUGACGUUACCGACAGAAUAAGCACCGGCUAACUCUGUGCCAGCAGCCGCCGUAAAAC